GAUACUAAGAUUGAACCAGACUGGAAAAGAGACCUUAAGGCUGAAGCCUGAAAAUAAACCUCAAGACUGAUCCAGAAUCAAAAGAAGACCUUGAAGCCCCUUCUAUACUGCCAUAUAAUCCAGAUUUUCAGCAAAUAAUCCACAUUAUCUGCUUUGAACUGCAUUAUAUGAGUCUACACUGCCAUAUAACCCAGUUCAAAGUAGAGAAUCUGGAUUUUAUAUGGCAGUGUAGAAGGGACCUAAAUUUAAUCCAGUCUGAUUUGGAGGGGGGGGGGGAGACCCUAAGACUGAAUCAGACGGAAAAAAUACCCUCAGGCUCCAUCUACACUUGCCAUAUAAUGUAGUUUGAAAGAGUGCAAAGUUUGAAUCUAUGAAUACAUUAUUUGAAUGCAUUUUUAUUAAUCUAAACUGACCAUAUAACGCUGUGUCAAACUGCAUUAUAGAGCAAUCUAGACUUAUUCAGGCGGGGGGGGGGGGACCCUAAGACUGAACCAGAUUGGGGAAAAAAACUUUUAAGGUUGAUCAAGAUUUUUUUUAAGUGAUCCUAAGACUGAACCAGUUUGAACAAAAGACCAUUAGUAUGAUCCAGACUAAAAAAGAGAUUAAAACUGAUGCAACUAAAAAAAAAAAAAGGACACUAAGAUGGAAUCAAACGGCUGCCAAAGGCGACCUGUCCAUUCUUGGGAAUUCCUGAGGUGGUGGGAGUAUUUGUGGUUUGUGGGGAUAGGGAGGUAAGAAGCUCCCUUUCGUCCCUGAUAUUUUAAGAGAUUGCUUUCCGACACACACCCAAGGACCCCUAGGUCUGCUCCUGCGUGGGUCUUGCAAGGUCCCUUCGUGUCUUUCACCUCCCACGACACCCCACGUCCCCUCACAAAUGAGCUGGGCGGGAGAAGAGCUUCCUCCCCAAAGCAGACUCCCGCAUCUCUGGCCAAAGCGAGGGCAACUUGGCGCCGCCAGCCGAGGCGUUCAGGGCGGGCGUUUUUCGACGGGGAAAGUCCGCUGAAGCGGAAAGGAACAAAAGCGAUUAAGGCGUGCUCCUCCCGGGCUCUGCCUCCUGUUUCCCUCGCCUCUCCUCCCUGACUCUCCUUCUUUAUUACUUUUUUAUAUAUCUCCAUUCCUUUCCCCCUUUCCUUUCUCCUUCUCUUCCCCCUUCCACCUCCCGUUCUCCCAUUUCCUCGCCCCUUUCUUUCUCUUCCCUUUCCUCUUUCUCCUUCCCCUUUCCUUUCCUCUUCCUUUACCCUUCUCUUCCCCUUUCCUCUUCUCCUUUCUCCCUCCUUUCCCCUUCCCCUUUUGUUUCCCCUUUUCCCUAUCCUCUCCCUUUGCCCUUCCCCCUUUCCUCUUCUCCUUUCUCACUUCCUCCUCUCCCUUUUCCCUUCUCUUUUGCUGUCCCCGAACUCCUUAUUCCAGUGGUUCUCAACCUGUGAGUCCCCAGGUGUUUUGGCCUACAACUCCCAGAAAUCCCAUCCAGUUUACCAGCUGUUAGGAUUUCUGGGAGUUGAAGGCCAAAACAUCUGGGGGCCCACAGGUUGAGAACCACUUCCUUAUUCGGUUCCUUGCUCUCCCUCUUUAAUUUCAACAGAAAGAAGGAAACCAUGAAAAUGAACAAAAUCUGGCUGCCAGUAUUUUAAAAGCUCUAAAACCAGGACAGUAAAUAAAGCACAACACUCUGAAAACAGGGAAAAUCCAGACAAGAAACAAUCAGGGCAAGCUAAUACUUGCCAACAAAGGAUUCCCUCAGGCAGGAAGCAUUCAGACUUUGAAUCUGCAAGGCCAUUACAUGCUAAUUAUGGUGGUCAGUUGCAACAUUCACACUUGCCUCCAACAGACGAGAGUUCUUUCUCCUACCCUGGACUUUUCACAGAUCUAUAAUCCCCACUGGCCUAGUUUCCAAUAGACAUCACAACCUCUGAGGAUGCGCGCCAUAGAUGCAGGAGAAACGUUAGGAGAGAAUGCUUCGGAACAUGGCCAUAUAGCCUGGAAAACUCACAGCAACCCAGUGAUUUCGGCCAUGAAAGCCUUGGGCAACACGUCUCCCUCUUUAGUUUCGCUUUUCUUCCUCUUUUUUACUCCUUCUUUUUCCCUUCCUCAUUCAUCUCCUCUCUUCCUGUACUUGUUAUUUACAUUCCCCCUUUCCCUUCUUGCUCUUCUUUCUUCACUUUCCAAUCCAGACCCAACAACCUUCUCUGGCUCCAAAGCCUAGGAAGGAAAGUCAGAAGGAAAGAAGGCCUUGAAAAACCUUCAUUCUCGAACAAGCCAUUCGGGCCCAGGAGGAAACUGUUGUUCUACACAUUAAAGGAAAUUCUAGAUUUUGGAAAUGAUAGGAACAGGGUGGAAUGGCGGGGAGUUAAUGGCCCUGUGUUGGGACGAAGGGAAUAAACUUCCAGAAAAGUUGUAGGAGAGGGGGGAUGAGGAAACCGAGAGGCCACAGUUUCUCCAAGGACUUCCUAAAUUGUGUUGAGGAAGGCUUUCAUGGCCGGAAUCAAUGGGGCUCCUUCCACACAGCUGAAUAAAAUCCCACAUUUUCUGCUUUGAACUGGAAUAUAUGGCAGUGUGGACACAAAUAACCCAGUUCAAAGCAAAUAUUGGAGGGUUUUCUGCCUUGAUACUCUGGGUUAUAUGGCUGUGUGGAAAGACCCUGGGUUGUUAUGCGUUUUCCCAGGCUGUAUGGCCAUGUUCCAGAACCAUUCUCUCCUGACGUUUCGCCCACAUCUAUGGCAGGCAUCCUCAUAGAUGUGGGCGAAACGUCAGGAGAGAAUGCUUCUGGAACAUAGCCAUACAGCCUGGAAAACUCACAGCAACCUUUCCUAAGUUGUUGCCCACCCGAUGGUGUCAACUACAGCCGACGUUGGUUGGGUUUGAUGGGAGUUAGAGUCCAACGCAUCCGGCUUUGGGGGGGGGGGGGGUCAGCUACUGAGAAUGGAAGAAAAUAUAAUGAUCUGGCAGACCCUCACUCUUCUUCCUCCCUUUCUUUUCUCUCCCCCCCCCCUUCUUCUUCACUUGAGUACAUCUUUAAGAGGAUGGACACAAGGGCCAAGUAUCGUUCCACUUUCUAAGAGAUUCACGCUGAAAAACAGAUAGAGAUAGAGACAGACCCCGCUUUUGCCUUUCCCCGACGAGUCCGCACACAGAUCUAACAACCACUUUAAAAGCGUAUGCAGCCGAAAACUGGGGCACGACUGGGGGGCUCCCGGGCACUCUUCGGCCGCUUUCCAAGGAGCCAGGUGGCUUCCACCUGAGCCUCGCUCGUGGAGCUGCCUCUGGCAGGGGAGCCCUUCCCUCUGUAGUGAAAGAGAGAGAGAGAGAGCGAGCGAGAGAGAGAGCCCUUUGGAAACGGAGGGAAGCUGUCUCAACCUAUUCUGCGCAGAUCGUGCUGCUGCUAAAAUAUUCCUGCAGACCAUUCUCCUCCAGCAAACGAGUCUGGAAAGACUCUUUGACCCUGCUUGCCUCGCCUGCUUGUUCACGUGGUCGUGUUUUCCUGCCACAUUCUCUUUUCUAAAUACAGUAGAGUCUCACUUAUCCAACACUCGCUUAUCCAACGUUCUGGAUUAUCCAACGCAUUUUUGUAGUCAAUGUUUUCAAUACAUCAUGAUACUUUGGUGCUAAAUUCGUAAAUACAGUAAUUACUACAUAGCAUUACUGCGUAUUGAACUACUUUUUCUGUCAAAUUUGUUGUAUAACAUUAUGUUUUGGUGCUUAAUUUGUAAAAUCAUAACCUAAUUUGAUGUUUAAUGGGCUUUUCCUUAAUGCCGCCUUAUUAUCCAACAUAUUCGCUUAUCCAACAUUCUGCCGGCCAGUUUAUGUUGGAUAAGAGAGACUCUACUGUAUAGUAUUUCAGGUUGUAUCUAUGUGUCCCAAAUAAGGGGGUGUCUUAAAAACCCCUAACUGAAACGAAAUUCUCUCUUACCUUUUGAGUAUCUCUUAUCCAAAAGGCUUAGAACCACAAGUGUUUUGGUCCCCCCUCCCCAAUAUUUUGGAAUAUCUGUAUUUGCAUAUGCAUACAUAAUGAGCUAUCUUGGAAAUGGGACCCAAAUCUAAACCGGAAAUUCCUAUGUUUCAUAUACACCUUGCACACAUAACCUGAAGACAAUUUUAUAUAAUAUUUGAAAAUUAUUUUGUGCAUGAAACUAAGUUUGUCUAUACUGAACUAUCAUAAAGCAAUACUGUCACUUUCUCUGUAACCCAUGUGGACAAUUUCACUAUGUAACAAAAUUUGAAAUAUUUUAUGUUCCCAGUUUGAAAGUGUUAUUGCAGUUUAAUAAACUUUUGCUAUGUUUUUA